GAAAAAGCGCAAACCCUUCUCCCCCUCCCUCGCUUCCACCAUUUUCGGACACCGACUCCGAUCGAACGAACCACUCAUCGGCCUCCGCCCCCUUUUUAAUUCCGAUCGUCGCUUCGGAUUUCGAUUCGGCCUCUCUCCCUCUCUCUCUCUCUCUAGAAAGAGCAGCGACGAACUCAUCGAUCGACCGAUCCCGCCGAUCUCCGCCGUGAGCAGGUCUUCGGCACCGAUCGCCAUGGCGAGGCCCUCGAAGCAGCAGGCGUCGUCCGACGAUGCCCUGUCGGACGGGUCCGAGGAGGAGGAGCAGCCGCAGCUCGACGAGCCCGUCAACGAGGAGGACGAGGAGGAGCUCGACGCCGUCGCCCGCUCCGCCAGCUCCGCUGACGACGACGACGCCGCCCCUCCCGCCGACGACGACGCCGGCGAGAAUGGCGAGGCCGAGGAGGAGGACGACGACGAUGAGAUUGGCGCUUGCUGUAUUGAUCCUCCGCUUUGCUAUUGAAUGCGCAGAAUGAAAAGUAUAUACGUGUACUGCAAGGUUAAAUUAGCACAAGAGUUGAAGCAUUUUCGAGGUGAACUUGUUUCUUGCUCUUCGUUUGGGGUUUAUUAUUUUCUGGCAUACUCUCGGUUGGAUGAAGAAGAGCGGAAGUUGAGAGUGUCUCUCGCUCAUAGUGAAGGCAUGGUGUUCAACCUUCAUGUUGUGCAUGCCAAAAACUAUGCCUUUGAGAGGGAUUUCUGUUUAUUUUAUUUUCUUUCUUUCUUUUUUUCCUGGUUGGUUGGUUGAUUUUGCAUCUCCAUGGCUAGAGUACUUGAGCAGAGCUGCAACUUUUCAUGUUUCUAAUAUUCGAAGCUGAUGACUUGGGUUUUCCCCUUUUAUUUCAACAUUUCCUUGUGAAGUUGUGAUCGAAAGCUUCAUCAAUCACCUCUCACCAUAUACAAAGUGGGAAACGAUGGCGAACAGAGCUUGUCUAUCUUGCUCUGCUUCUGUCUUUACAUACACAUGACUUCUUAAGUUGGCAAGUGCUUCCGAAGAUAAUGGUGAAACAGAAGUUAGCAAGAUGAAAAGGCCAGGAUCUGUGAAAUGCAAAAGUUGAAGAAGAAGAAGAUUCAGGAAAUAUUGGAUCAGCAAAAUGCCGCUAUUGACACCGAUAUGAAUAAUAAGGGAAAAGGGCAGUUGAAGUAUCUUCUGCAGCAAACUGAGAUUUUUGCUCGUUUUGCCAGAGGAAACCAGUCCGCUUCACAGAAAAUUAAAGGAAGGGGUUGUCAUGAAUCUAAAAUAAUUGAAGAGGAAGAGGAUGAAGAAUGUCUUAAGGAGGAAGAAGAUGGCUUGUCUGGUAUGGAAACGCGCAGCUGCUGACACAACCCUCUUGUAUACAAGGGAAGAUGAGGGAUUACUAGCUUGCUGGAUUGAAUUGGCUCAUAAGAUUGUAUGAGAAUGGCAUUAACAGAAUACUUGCAGAUGAAAUGGUAGGUUACGGGCUGCAGCAUUUAGAUGUGUGCAGUAUGGAAGCUGGAAAGGCUAGAAGAUGCAGAGCUCAGAGAAAUUUGCUAAUAGAAAUUCCAAUGAUAUCUUAGAGAUAUUCAUCUUGUAAGAUCUUGAAAUUGACAUGUGCUGAGAUAACCAAUUAUUGAGUCUCCUAGAAAGUCUUAUAUGCCUACAAUACUCAUACCGAGUUGAUGAUGGCAUUUCUGGUCUCUCCAACUUGAAAAGCUUGAGAGAUUCGUCCUGGGCUAGCCAAUAACUCUCUUCCCCCAGUUGACUAGGAACUUGAAAAGAUUGUGGAAGAUUCUAUCCCCGGUGGAUUGGUAGGUUAAAGAGACUGGAGUCUUUAAAGUUGUCCUCUUCGAUAAUGACCACCUUAUUGCAAGAUAUUCCGCAACUUUCUCAUCUCUAGAGAGUUGAACUCUGUCGGGAAUGUCUGUAGUGCCUCCCGAGGCUUCCCUCGAGUUUACCGUCCAUAUGUAUUAGACAUUUCCUAUCAGUAGGUACAUUAAUAGACCUAUCAACCUUGAAGAAACUGUAAGAACUAAUUGAGUAUUGUGCAGUUACAGAGAUUCAAAGC